CUAUGUGAUAAUGUCAUACUCGUUCUCCAAAUAUUAAAUAUCUAGACUGCAUAUAAAUUGAACUGAAACUAAGCUAAUCCUCAAAGUUAUCAAUGCAAAUGGAUUCUGAAUUCUGAAUUUUGAAUACUGAAUUAAGAGGUCAACAUAUGUAUAUUUGACUAUAUAUGAAAAAUACAUCAAAUCCAUCGGCUGUAAUAGAAAUGGCAUGGACUUGUGUCGGCACAGAUUUAAGCUAAUUAGAGAUAUCACAAAAUGUUCGUAAAAUCGAAUUUAUCUGUAUCAAAAAAUCUUUUGGAAAUGUUGGUUCAUCAUGUUUGGGUGGAAGAUAGCAGUGAAGGAUUGCAAACCAUAUUUGUGAUAAUGUCAUACUCGUUCUUCAAAUAUUAAAUAUCCAGACUGCAUAUAAAUUGAACUGAAACUAAGCUAAUCCUCAAAGUUAUCAAUGCAAAUGGAUUCUGAAUUCUGAAUUUUGAAUACUGAAUUAAGAGGUCAACAUAUGUAUAUUUGACUAUAUAUGAAAAAUACAUCAAAUCCAUCGGCUGUAAUAGAAAUGGCAUGGACUUGUGUCGGCACAGAUUUAAGCUAAUUAGAGAUAUCACAAAAUGUUCGUAAAAUCGAAUUUAUCUGUAUCAAAAAAUCUUUUGGAAAUGUUGGUUCAUCAUGUUUGGGUGGAAGAUAGCAGUGAAGGAUUGCAAACCAUAUUUGUGAUAAUGUCAUACUCGUUCUUCAAAUAUUAAAUAUCCAGACUGCAUAUAAAUUGAACUGAAACUAAGCUAAUCCUCAAAGUUAUCAAUGCAAAUGGAUUCUGAAUUCUGAAUUUUGAAUACUGAAUUAAGAGGUCAACAUAUGUAUAUUUGACUAUAUAUGAAAAAUACAUCAAAUCCAUCGGCUGUAAUAGAAAUGGCAUGGACUUGUGUCGGCACAGAUUUAAGCUAAUUAGAGAUAUCACAAAAUGUUCGUAAAAUCGAAUUUAUCUGUAUCAAAAAAUCUUUUGGAAAUGUUGGUUCAUCAUGUUUGGGUGGAAGAUAGCAGUGAAGGAUUGCAAACCAUAUUUGUGAUAAUGUCAUACUCGUUCUCCAAAUAUUCAAUAUCUAGACUGCAUAUAAAUUGAACUGAAACUAAGCUAAUCUUCUAAGUUAUCAAUGCAAAUGGAUUCUGAAUUCUGAAUUUUGAAUACUCAAUUAAGAG